GCGUUCUUAGUCUAAUAGGAUAAGACACAUGAUUCCUAAUCAUGAGAUGAUAGUUCGAUUCUGUCAGGACGCA
rnacentral:tRNA from 1 species